UACGUAGGGUGCAAGCGUUGUCCGGAUUAUUGGGCGUAAAGAGCUCGUAGGCGGUUAAGAAAGUCGGGUGUGAAACCUCCAGGCUCAACCUGGAGACGCCACUCGAUACUUCUUUGACUUGAGUUCGGUAGGGGUAAGCGGAAUUCCUGGUGUAGCGGUGAAAUGCGCAGAUAUCAGGAGGAACACCGACGGCGAAGGCGGCUCACUGGACAUGUAUUGACGCUGAGGUGCGAAAGCGUGGGGAGCGAACAGG
rnacentral:rRNA from 1 species